ACCUUCCUCCAAACCCUAAAAAUCCCCUCAAAAAUAGCCUCCCGAGUAGAGAACAUGGUAUAAGGGAAGAAGACAGGGACUGGGGCGAGAGAAGCAGGACUCUCAGAUGAAAGGACAGCGCCAGAAUGAGGCCACGAAGGGGCUGAGGAGUUUAAAUAGCCGAUGGAUCCUGGCGCAGUUAUGGCGGCGGGUAUUCCUGGGCCAACUGAUGUGUGCCGCAUGGCAUGCUUAUCCCUUUCACCGCCAUCGAGGGUUGACCGCUCACGAAUUCCCGCAAAGCGAC
rnacentral:lncRNA from 1 species